UAGGGAAUCUUCCGCAAUGGACGCAAGUCUGACGGAGCAACGCCGCGUGAGUGAAGAAGGAUUUCGGUUCGUAAAACUCUGUUGUUAGAGAAGAACAGCGCAUAGAGAACUGUUAUGCGUGUGACGGUAUCUAACCAGAAAGCCACGGCUAACUACGUGCCAGCAGCCGCGGUAAUACGUAGGUGGCAAGCGUUGUCCGGAUUUAUUGGGCGUAAAGCGAGCGCAGGCGGUCAAUUAAGUCUGAUGUGAAAGCCCCCGGCUCAACCGGGGAGGGUCAUUGGAAACUGGUUGACUUGAGUGCAGAAGAGGAGAGUGGAAUUCCAUGUGUAGCGGUGAAAUGCGUAGAUAUAUGGAGGAACACCAGUGGCGAAGGCGACUCUCUGGUCUGUAACUGACGCUGAGGUUCGAAAGCGUGGGUAGCAAACAGG
rnacentral:rRNA from 1 species